UACCUCACUAUUAAGGUAGUAUAGUGGUCAGUAUUCCCGCCUGUUAUGUGGGUGACCGGGGUUCGAUUCUCCGCCAGGUAG